CGAGGGGGGCUAGCGUUGUUCGGAAUUACUGGGCGUAAAGCGCGCGCAGGCGGUCUUCCAAGUCAGUGGUGAAAGCCCGGAGCUCAACUCCGGAACUGCCAUUGAAACUGUGAGACUUGAGGACGAGAGAGGUGAGUGGAAUUCCCAGUGUAGAGGUGAAAUUCGUAGAUAUUGGGAAGAACACCGGUGGCGAAGGCGGCUCACUGGCUCGUAUCUGACGCUCAGGCGCGAUAGCGUGGGGAUCAAACAGGAUUAGAUACCCUGGUAGUCCACGCCGUAAACGAUAAAUGCUAGCCGUUGGGCAGCUUGCUGUUCAGUGGCGCAGCUAACGCAUUAAGCAUUCCGCCUGGGGAGUACGGCCGCAAGGUUG
rnacentral:rRNA from 1 species